rnacentral:rRNA from 1 species
GACGAACGCUGGCGGCGUGCUUAACACAUGCAAGUCGAACGGAAAGGCCCUGCUUUUGUGGGGUGCUCGAGUGGCGAACGGGUGAGUAACACGUGAGUAACCUGCCCUUGACUUUGGGAUAACUUCAGGAAACUGGGGCUAAUACCUGAUAGGAGCUCCUGCUGCAUGGUGGGGGUUGGAAAGUUUCGGCGGUUGGGGAUGGACUCCCGGCUUAUCAGCUUGUGGGUGGGGUAGUGGCUUACCAAGGCUUUGACGGGUAGCCGGCCUGAGAGGGUGACCGGCCACAUUGGGACUGAGAGACGGCCCAGACUCCUACGGGAGGCAGCAGUGGGGAAUAUUGCACAAUGGGCGGAAGCCUGAUGCAGCAACGCCGCGUGCGGGAUGACGGCCUUCGGGUUGUAAACCGCUUUCGCCUGUGACGAAGCGUGAGUGACGGUAAUGGGUAAAGAAGCACCGGCUAACUACGUG